ACAUUAAUUAGUGAACCCUGUUUCUCAAAAAAAGCUUGCUCCAUAGCUCUUCUGAUACCCAAACCAUGUUAAUCGUACAUCUUUCGUGGGAAUAACCUCAAUCGUGAGGCGUUUAGGUGAGAGGAGACGAACGAGAUAGCGAUUCCUUUCGGUUAUGCCGUGAUUGGAAAACCCUAGCUUAGAUCCUCUAGACUCAAUCCAAGCUUAAAGUUGUGCAGAACCCAAGGAAGUGUAGAUCACUGACGGUGACCUAGGGGAUUCGUUUGAGAUGUCAAGCUUUCACGUGGGAGGAAAGGUAGUGGACAAGGUCGACUUGUGUGGGAAGAAACACUGGGCGUGGCCUUUGGAUGUUUGGCCGUUUUCGAUCCUCUAUGCUACGUGGUUGGCUACAAUCGUGCCUAACGUAUAUUUCAUCGAUGCUAUGAUCGGUUUCGGUUCUUGCUUUUCACUAUGUGGUCUGUGGAUUUCAAGUGUUUUAUCCAGCUUAGCAAGGUUAACAGUAUCAUCCAGGCAGAUGCGUGUAAAGUCACCCCAGCCAAGUUUUCUGGUUCUAAAAAAGUUGUGCCUCUUCAUUUUCGUAGCCAAAUGACUGGUUCGUCAUCCUCAGGAGACAUGGAAGAAAUUUUUUUUGAAUUCAGAAAGCAGCGUUUUAUGUACUCAAAGGAGUUAGGAGCCUUUUCCAAGCUUCCUUACCCCACAAAGAAAACAUUUGGUCAUUACCUAAAAUGUACUGGCCAUGGUACAUAAGAUAAAGUUGCAACAGCCACUGAGAAGUGGGGAAAGGAACGUGUUUUCUAUGUGGGUCUUUGGUGGUUGGAUGAAUUCUGGUAUUGCAGUUUGUUCACACUAUUCAUGCUUCUCAUAUUCGAGCCAACAAUGGCCGUUUGAAGACGUUAAACAACCUAAGACAAGUUAGGGUGGACAGUCAGACAGUGAUGGUGUAUCGAUGUGGGAGGUGGGCGAAGCUCUUAGGCACUAACCUGCUGCCAGGAGAUGUUGUGUCUAUUGGGAGGCUGUCUACACACACUGGAGGAGAGGAUAAGACAGUACCAGCGGACAUGGUUUUACUUUUCUUAGCACAUGAGCUGCUUGAAAUGUUGUGUCAUGACAUUUUGGAGAAAUUGUUGCCAGAGAAGCGGCCGUCUCACCAAUGGAUUACUACAACAGCAUCAUUUCAUGCAAGGGGCUACACAUCUCCGCUGAGGACUAUCGUGUCUCCAAGAAACUAAACCUUUCAAAAUUGGCUUUCUUAUGGUCCAAAUUGUUUCUUUUCAAGUUUUCAUUUUUCAUACCAAAACUAACUCGGCCUCGUAAAUGUACAGUCCAUAAACAAUUAAUUUUCAUCUCGCUAAAAGGUCACU